GAUGAAGAACGUAGCGAAAUGCGAUAAGUAAUGUGAAUUGCAGAAUUCAGUGAAUCAUCGAAUCUUUGAACGCACAUUGCGCCCGCCAGUAUUCUGGCGGGCAUGCCUGUCCGAGCGUCAUUUCAACCCUCGAACCCCUCCGGGGGGUCGGCGUUGGGGAUCGGCCCUUUCACCGGGUGCCGGCCCCUAAAUACAGUGGCGGUCUCGCCGCAGCCUCUCAUGCGCAGUAGUUUGCACACUCGCACCGGGAGCGCGGCGCGUCCUCGUCCGUAAAACACCCCAAACUUCUGAAAUGUUGACCUCGGAUCAGGUAGGAAUACCCGCUGAACUUAAGCAUAUCAAUAAGCAGGA
rnacentral:misc_RNA from 1 species